GAGUUUGAUCCUGGCUCAGAUUGAACGCUGGCGGCAUGCCUUACACAUGCAAGUCGAACGGCAGCACGGGAGCUUGCUCCUUGAUUCAGCGGCGGACGGGUGAGUAAUGCCUAGGAAUCUGCCUGGUAGUGGGGGACAACGUUUCGAAAGGAACGCUAAUACCGCAUACGUCCUACGGGAGAAAGCAGGGGACCUUCGGGCCUUGCGCUAUCAGAUGAGCCUAGGUCGGAUUAGCUAGUUGGUGGGGUAAUGGCUCACCAAGGCGACGAUCCGUAACUGGUCUGAGAGGAUGAUCAGUCACACUGGAACUGAGACACGGUCCAGACUCCUACGGGAGGCAGCAGUGGGGAAUAUUGGACAAUGGGCGAAAGCCUGAUCCAGCCAUGCCGCGUGUGUGAAGAAGGUCUUCGGAUUGUAAAGCACUUUAAGUUGGGAGGAAGGGCAGUAAGUUAAUACCUUGCUGUUUUGACGUUACCGACAGAAUAAGCACCGGCUAACUCUGUGCCAGCCGCCG
rnacentral:rRNA from 1 species